GCAGUCGAACGAACUCUGGUAUUGAUUGGUGCUUGCAUCAUGAUUUACAUUUGAGUGAGUGGCGAACUGGUGAGUAACACGUGGGAAACCUGCCCAGAAGCGGGGGAUAACACCUGGAAACAGAUGCUAAUACCGCAUAACAACUUGGACCGCAUGGUCCGAGUUUGAAAGAUGGCUUCGGCUAUCACUUUUGGAUGGUCCCGCGGCGUAUUAGCUAGAUGGUGGGGUAACGGCUCACCAUGGCAAUGAUACGUAGCCGACCUGAGAGGGUAAUCGGCCACAUUGGGACUGAGACACGGCCCAAACUCCUACGGGAGGCAGCAGUAGGGAAUCUUCCACAAUGGACGAAAGUCUGAUGGAGCAACGCCGCGUGAGUGAAGAAGGGUUUCGGCUCGUAAAACUCUGUUGUUAAAGAAGAACAUAUCUGAGAGUAACUGUUCAGGUAUUGACGGUAUUUAACCAGAAAGCCACGGCUAACUACGUGCCAGCAGCCGCGGUAAUACGUAGGUGGCAAGCGUUGUCCGGAUUUAUUGGGCGUAAAGCGAGCGCAGGCGGUUUUUUAAGUCUGAUGUGAAAGCCUUCGGCUCAACCGAAGAAGUGCAUCGGAAACUGGGAAACUUGAGUGCAGAAGAGGACAGUGGAACUCCAUGUGUAGCGGUGAAAUGCGUAGAUAUAUGGAAGAACACCAGUGGCGAAGGCGGCUGUCUGGUCUGUAACUGACGCUGAGGCUCGAAAGUAUGGGUAGCAAACAGGAUUAGAUACCCUGGUAGUCCAUACCGUAAACGAUGAAUGCUAAGUGUUGGAGGGUUUCCGCCCUUCAGUGCUGCAGCUAACGCAUUAAGCAUUCCGCCUGGGGAGUACGGCCGCAAGGCUGAAACUCAAAGGAAUUGACGGGGGCCCGCACAAGCGGUGGAGCAUGUGGUUUAAUUCGAAGCUACGCGAAGAACCUUACCAGGUCUUGACAUACUAUGCAAAUCUAAGAGAUUAGACGUUCCCUUCGGGGACAUGGAUACAGGUGGUGCAUGGUUGUCGUCAGCUCGUGUCGUGAGAUGUUGGGUUAAGUCCCGCAACGAGCGCAACCCUUAUUAUCAGUUGCCAGCAUUAAGUUGGGCACUCUGGUGAGACUGCCGGUGACAAACCGGAGGAAGGUGGGGAUGACGUCAAAUCAUCAUGCCCCUUAUGACCUGGGCUACACACGUGCUACAAUGGAUGGUACAACGAGUUGCGAACUCGCGAGAGUAAGCUAAUCUCUUAAAGCCAUUCUCAGUUCGGAUUGUAGGCUGCAACUCGCCUACAUGAAGUCGGAAUCGCUAGUAAUCGCGGAUCAGCAUGCCGCGGUGAAUACGUUCCCGGGCCUUGUACACACCGCCCGUCACACCAUGAGAGUUUGUAACACCCAAAGUCGGUGGGGUAA
rnacentral:rRNA from 2 species